UUCUUCAUUGUUUUCUUAUAGUCCUUAAUUUUAUAUAUUUAGUUGAUUUCUUUUUUAUGAUGUUUUAUUUACUUAUUUGAUUUUUCUGAGUUAUUCGAUUAUUGUAUGAUUUUGAUUUGUUGAUGUAGAUUUUAUUUUGGGAUUCUUUUCCUUGAAUUGUUGAUCUUAGUUUGAUUUUGCAUUGUGUUCACUGUAAAACUGCCCAUUUUCCUUCAUGAUAUAUUUUAUUUGUGAAAUCAGUUGAUCUGUAUUGGUUACUGUUAUAUCAAAGCAUAUGUAUGUUUCUUCCACUAUAAACAGCAAAAGAAUAGCCAGUGGAAAACAGCUGAUAUUUAUUGAAUAAUCUUUCCUUGAAGUAUAACAUUACCUUGCAUGUCUAAACAAUUGCCUUAUAGGCUGGCAUUAUCUUUGGACCAGCUGUCCUUAGUUGCAACGAAACAUUCCUGGACUCAGUUUUUUAAGCAAAAGAGAUGUGGGUUCUGAGCAACAUUCUUUGUCUUUCUUAUGGCUGUGAAAACACAUUAAUGCUGCGUAAUUGGCACAAUUGUGCAUUGGCCUCAACUGGUGCUUCCAAUUAAUUAUUUAUAAAUUUUGGAGUUCUAGAGUUAAUUAUAACUGUAAUCUUUGACUUUUUUUUUUUUUUCAAUUGUUAUGAUCCUUUCCUUUUUUAACAUUUUUCUAUUUCUUCUUUAUCAGCUGGUUUCAUUUUUGUAUGCUGAUAAAUUUGAUUGUAUUGAUACUUUGUGCAUCCAGCAACAACAGAACUCCAAUUCUGGCUAAGCCUUGAGCAUCCUCCACCAAGUUAUCUCCGCUGAAGGGCCUGAUGCACUCUAUAGAGGAAUGGGUGCACUCCCAGCAUCAAUCACCUUUCAGAUAACAAGAUGCUUAAGAUCUGAGAGGAAUGUCAGCAAGGUCAAACCUGGUGUUGCUUAUCCUGUUUUAACAUCAAACACUCCCAAGGAGGUUGUGAUGAAUGAAAACACAGAAGAUGGCAUAGAAGGGAAGAAGAACAUGAAAGGAGCAGCAGGUAGUUAAGAUUGAUAUUAAAUUGUUUCAAGUAAUUAUAUUGAUCUUAUUGAUUGCUCUUGCUCAUGAUUUUCUGUGUUUUUGUCAUCUGGAUGUUGCUUCUCUGGGCUUGAAAUUUUUGGCCUGGAACAGUGUAUCUUGGAGCUUAUGAUGAAGAAGAAUCUGCAGCAAGAGCAUAUGAUUUGGCUGCUCUCAUCUACUGGGAACUUCAAAUUCCACAAAUUUUCCAGUAUCUGAGUAUGGGAAAGAAUUUGAAACAAUGAAAAUUCUAACAAAAGAGGAGUACCCGGCCAGUCUAAGAAUGCGCCAUCACAAUGGAAGACGGGAAGCAAGAAGAGGGAGAGUGGAAACUGGAAACAAGUAUCUCUCUCUAGGCACUUACAGAUGUAUGUGCUUAUGUAAUAAGUUCUUGAAGGGAGAUGGAUUGGUGGACACUGAGGAUGUGAUGAUAUUUAUAGCUUGAGUUUAAUAAACUCAUAUCAACUAUAAAUUCAAUUUUCUAAUUUAGUCCGUGUUUUCGUUUUUCCAAACGGCAUAUAAGUUUUUUAUUUAUAAUUUGAACCAUUUGAGAAGUGAAAGAAAAUCAGUAUUCUGGAUUA